ACAAAAGUAAUGCAAAGGAGUAGUAACAAGCCAUAGAUUUUGAGAGAGUCGGUGGUUGGUGAGAACCGAUAAUCAAAAGCUUGCGAACUCGCCUUUAAACUGUAGAUAGGAAAGCAAAGUACUCUCUACCGUACCUCUGCGUUAAAGAGCUCGAGUGGUAUUUAUGGUUGAGUAGAUAUCAUUAGGGUGGUACCACGGGAAAUGUAACCUAACCUCUCGUCCCUAGC
rnacentral:ncRNA from 1 species